GGUGGCUCAGCAGUAGAGCACGUGCCUUGCAAGCAUGAGGCCCUGGGUUCGAUUUCAGCACCA
rnacentral:tRNA from 1 species